AUAUAAACAAAAUAGUUGAGCAACAGUUAAAUAAAUAAAAGACUAAAUAUUCUUGUUACUGUUAUGUAAAAGUAUUCUGAAGCAAACAUGUUUAAAAUGCAACUUGAUGAGACUUUGAUGUGACUGGGUUUUAAUAAAUGAUACUAGCUUACUGACAAUCUCAAGUGAGGUAAAUUAUAUUACAUAUCUUUUUCUUUGUAAUAGUGUCAAAUAAAUAUGAAUUUAGGCUACAUUGGACCAAAAAAGUGAGACGUCUGCCAGUAUGAUUUUCUAUUUAUCCUUUAUUUAAAUUAUAUUUCCCUCGUCUGACCUCUAGAUUAAAAACUGGCCCUGACAUUAAAAACUUUGAAAUGUCCUACACAGCAGGUUAACAGCGUAUGAACUUUCUGAGACCUUGGGUGAGAAACUUUACAUGGCUUUUUCAAGGCUUUAUUGCUAGCUAAGGUCCAGAUCUGGGCUCCUGACCUUUUGCAGUUUUUGGGAGGACCUGUCAAGUGAAUUAAUUGCCCGGUGACACAUACUGCAGCUGGAUCAGUCCCACGCCAGCCUAGCCCAGCAAGCUCCAUUAAUUACAUUAGUCCUUUCCGAACUGUAGGUCUGUCGUUUCAGCCUCCUUCUCCAAAAAGAAUGUGUGUCAGUGGACAUUAUAUUCUCUUCCGCAGUAGCAUGUGUGAAUGAGAGAGAUAUAAGAGAAAGAAAACUCUCAGUUAAGCCAUUUUGUGUAUUUCAGAGGCUGGAAGGCACCCGCAGGAUUCACUCUUUCAACACACCAUCAGACCAAGCAGCUCAAAAUCAAGCCUAUGCAGAAACCGAAUACAGCCUUGGGACCCAAAUUAAGCUGUUUGGACUCUCAUUCUGAUGGCACCCAUUCACCGCAGAGAAUCCAUUGGUUAGCAAGUGAUGUAAUGCUACAUUUCUUCAAAUCUGUUCCAGUGAAGAAGAAGAAAAAACUCAUCUACAUCUUGGAUAGCCAGAGGGUGAGCUACUUUCAUUUUUGGGUGAUUACAUUCUUACUUUGUAUAAAUAUUUGCUGAGAAAAGAUCUCAAAUGGGGUUCAUUUUAGAGAAAUGUGGAUUUAGGAGUCAUUAACAUUUGUUUUAAUUCCAUAUCAUAAACAUAUCCCUAACCUUUAGACUUGGGGGCUGUUCACAAAAUUUGCUUUAUUGUUUUUAGGCUGUGCUUUUUUUUAAAAAAUGUACGCAUGAAGAUGGACUUGACUUUGCUGUUGCGUCAUGUCUUGCUUGUUGCUUGUGAUUUAUUAACACAUAAUUAUUUAACCAAACACAGUAAAUGUACAACUCUAUUAUUUAUUGAUUCUUUUUGUAAGAUUAAACCCCAGCCCUCAGGCAGCAUGAGGAGAUAAGAGCAGUUAAGAAAAAAAAAAAAGAAAAAAAAAAGACAUUUUGGACAAACUCCAGAUUUGUGAUGAGCAUGUAUUGCAUCAUGGAUUAAUGACAAAACUUAUAGUGAUGCCAUUGGGCCUCAGCCUUGAGGGACCCAGAUGUAAAAGGGACAAAAAAGACUGAACAGCUGGAUCUGCCAUUAUUUGGCGCUCAUCACAGCCCUGCCUAAAAAUAGAACCCAAAUCAGAAUUUCAAAUGAAUCUUACUGUUUGAAGAUCAGUUAUAUCCACAGGAUACAUAAUGUUAAUUCUCUCACUCUCUCAUCCACUUUCUCAUUUACAUAAGGCAAGUGACAAAUGAUUGCAGCGGUUUUUUUUUGUUUGUUUUUUUUUUUGUCCCUGAUAUGUAAUGCCUCUUUCAAUUUAGAAAAAUAUGCAACUCCAAAUAUACUACACAAUAAAUACUGAAGACAAACUUCUCUUCAGGAGGAAAAAAUGAAAAAAAACAAACAAAAAAAAAACAACCUUGCAGAAACACAAGUGGGCCAUGCAAAAGAUUCAGCCUGAGUUGUCUGGAGAGAACUUUCCAUCUGAAAGUUAUAGAUGUAAAUAUAAAGUAUACAGUUGUAGGUGGUUUACCAUUAAUGUAAUCUGUAGAUAACAUUGCACCACACAUUAUUAAUUUACAUCAUUUGUGUUUUUUUUUUAUUUAUUUAUUUUUUUUAAUUCAUUUUAUUUUAUUUUGUUGUUGUUGUGUUCCUGAUACUGAUACUGUUUGGUAGAUUACAAGUGACAUGUUGGACAGGAACCUGUAUACGAUUCCCAUUGAAGCUGAUGCUAUGGUGAGCAGUUAGCAGUCUCACUGGGAAAUCUCCAGCUUUAGAAUGCCAGGAUGUCAGGAAAUGUCACAGGGAAACAAGAAAGGAUAAUACACAAAGCGCUGACACUAACUGUUUAAUUAUUUAGAAGCAAAAUUGAUGUGAUAGGCAUGAUACUGGGAAGAUGACGGACAGUUUGCAUCAUACUAUCCAUCUGUUUAUGCUAAACAUAAAGAUUCCAUUUAAAAAGGCAUGUUGUUCUGCUUUACCAUCAGGUAGAAAUGAUAGUUAUAAUAAAGAUAGAAACUUAAUAGAAAAUAUCAGAUAAUAUUCAUAAUAUAGACAUAUCUAUGAUAUUUAAUGGGUCUUUUUAUGGAAAUGUAUGACUCCCUUUAUAUUUUAGAAUAAGACAUCCUGGGGACCUUGCCAUCAAAAAGUUUGCUAUAGAUUAACUAAGUGGGCCCCCUUUGUAACAGGUCGACAUUCUCAGUUUUUU
rnacentral:lncRNA from 12 species